rnacentral:rRNA from 1 species
GUUGGUGCUGAUGAUGCUCAGGGUACACUCGUUCCCAUCCCGAACACGAUAGUUAAGCUGAGCGAUGCCGAAAAUACUUGACUGGAGACGGUCCGGGAAAAUAGGAAAGUGCCAAUU